CAAGAAUCUUCGUGAACUUCUUGUCCCACUAAAAUAAUAAAAAUACUGGGAAAACAACCAAAAGUAACCAUUUCACAACUCUGAAAAUUAACCAAAGCUACAGAACAAACUGAAAAUUAAGAGAACUACUGAACCUCGAACCGCAUCCAGAUGGAGGCUGUUUGACGUAAGCAAAUUUUCUAAGAAGUUUUUAUGAAUAAGAAAAAAAAAAAAGAAUAGAAGUCACAAAACCGGAAAAUGAAAACAUCUCUCUGCAUAUAUGGCGACUGGAGAAUAAUGCUUAGGGACCUCUUUAAAACAGCACAUGUCCUCACUGAGAUAAUGUUAGCUACCACGCUACCCUUUUACAUACAUUCCACGUUACUAGGGAAAACAGUAUCUCCACGCAGUGAAGUCACACACUGAAACGUGUGCCGGCACUUAUGCCAUUUAACUGAAGUAUUUUGUUCUUACUUGGAAUUGGGCGAAAUAAUUCAUCUCUUUCUUCAAUCUCCUCAGCUGUUGGUGUUGCAUUUAAAGCUGUUAAGACAAUAAAGUGGUGUUAUG